CGCCAUUCCUAUCCUGGAGAUUUUCUUGGCAGAUAGCUUUCAUUUCCUUUUGAUUUAUUUAGGCAACAGCCCUGUGAAUUUGGCAGCUGGCCUGGUACAAGCAGGGCUGAUGCCAAACUCAGAGCUGUGUCAUCUGUCAGAGCAAUUUGUUCUCAGGGAGGGAAGGAGAAGUGGUUUUCCAGCAGGAGCGUGUUGGCUGCGACCACAGGAGCACACUGAAGCCUGUAGCAGCAGGGAACAGGAUUUAUCCCACUGUGAUCCUCACACCGGCAAGGAUCUUGCACCAGGAAUAUGCAGGGACCAUGAGACUGCAAGACUCAGAAAAACUAGUGAAGAAAACUCUCUGUGCACAGAAACUGUACAAAGCAUUGCGAAGCACACAGAGAAAACCUGCUGGAAGAAAAUGGCACUGUAUCUGUGAGUUUUGUAAGGAGAAAUGUAACUGAAAUAGCCAUAGGCAGGCACUGACUGGCUGCAAAUGGAAAAAAUCUGCUACACAUGUGCAACUGAAAUACAGAGCCUGAGUAAGGUACGUGGUCCACUCGAGGGGACUUGCUUUGGGCUUGGGUGGGUCUGGAUUUUGUCACAGGAUCAGAGCUUGUUUUGGAUAGAGGGAAGAAUACUGGUUUAAAUAUAUUUAAAAAUGAGGGUGUGAUCAGGGCUGCCACUCAAGUAUUUCCCGCUGCAGACAGGACCUGGGUGCAACGCCCCCUUCAAACCAACACUGGAGUGGCCUGUCCACAUCGCCCUGCAGCUUGAAAAUGCCUUCAGUAGACUGGCAAAGCCAGAGGCGGAGAGAGGAGGACGGGCUGCACGUCCUGGUUUGAAAAGACAAAUGCUGCCCUUCGCGGAGAACCAGGGGGGCAGAGAAGCCGCUGGCUGUCCUUCCAGGCUUCGGAGCAGGCGGACGGGGGUCCCAGCUAUGGGCAAGCGGGGACAUGCUGGCUCUUGGGGCAGCAGCUGAAUUGCAUCCUGGCACAGAACCACACCUCUUCAUUUGCUCGUUUUCCCCAGGGUCGGUGGUGAAAGCAACAGCACCCGCGUUUGGCAGAAAAACAUCGGGACAAAUACAAUGAAAGAGCCCGCAGUGGAGUUAAGGCAGGAGCGCCUGAGUGGCUGGUGCUGAGCUCCCCGAGCUGGACUGGCUGUGCCGGGGUCCUGGAGGGCAGCUGCAGGCAGCGGCGCCACUUCUGAGCGGGCGAUGGAGCCGGUUGCAGCUCUGAGGGCUGACAAAGAGCCUCACCCUUGUCCCCCUCCUC